CUUAGAAAAAAAAAACACUGGUUCUGGCACUUUGAGUUAUAAGGAAGGAAUAAACCCUUCUGAUAUGUUUUCAAUGGCGGGAGAAAUUCUAUGAACAAAGAAACGGCGCUCCAAUGGGAAGUCCAUUGUCACCUGUUAUGGCUAAUUUGUUCAUGGAGGAAUUUGAAAAGAAGGCCUUAGCUACUGCAAAGUUGAAACCAGGUUUCUGGUUCAGAUACGUGGAUGAUACAUUGAGUAGCUGGUCUCAUGGAC